GACGAACGCUGGCGGCGUGCCUAAUACAUGCAAGUAGAACGCUGAAGGAGGAGCUUGCUUCUCCGGAUGAGUUGCGAACGGGUGAGUAACGCGUAGGUAACCUGCCUGGUAGCGGGGUAGAACUAUUGGAAACGAUAGCUAAUACCGCAUAAGAGUAGAUGUCGCAUGACAUUCGCUUAAAAGGUGCAACUGCACCACUACCAGAUGGACCUGCGUGGUAUUAGCAAGUGGGCGAGGUAAAGGCCCACCAAGGCAACGAUCCAUAGCCAACCGGAGAGGGGGUCGGCCAACACGGGAAUGGGACAAGGCCCCGGCCCCUACGGGGGGCAGGAGGAGGGGAAUAUCGGCAAUGGGCGGAAGUCUGGCCGAACACCGCCGCGGGAGGGAAGGAGGUUUUCGGAUCGUAAAGCUCUGUUGUAAGGGAAGAACGAGUGUGAGGGUAGAAAGUUCACGCUGUGACGGUACCUUAACAGAAAGAGACGGCUAACUACGUG
rnacentral:rRNA from 1 species